GCGUGUGUGAAGAAGGCCUUCGGGUUGUAAAGCACUUUCAGUCGUGAGGAAGGUGGUGUAGUUAAUAGCUGCAUUAUUUGACGUUAGCGACAGAAGAAGCACCGGCUAACUCCGUGCCAGCAGCCGCGGUAAUACGGAGGGUGCGAGCGUUAAUCGGAAUUACUGGGCGUAAAGCGCAUGCAGGUGGUUUGUUAAGUCAGAUGUGAAAGCCCGGGGCUCAACCUCGGAAUAGCAUUUGAAACUGGCAGACUAGAGUACUGUAGAGGGGGGUAGAAUUUCAGGUGUAGCGGUGAAAUGCGUAGAGAUCUGAAGGAAUACCGGUGGCGAAGGCGGCCCCCUGGACAGAUACUGACACUCAGAUGCGAAAGCGUGGGGAGCAAACAGGAUUAGAUACCCUGGUAGUCCACGCCGUAAACGAUGUCUACUUGGAGGUUGUGGCCUUGAGCCGUGGCUUUCGGAGCUAACGCGUUAAGUAGACCGCCUGGGGAGUACGGUCGCAAGAUUAAAACUCAAAUGAAUUGACGGGGGCCCGCACAAGCGGUGGAGCAUGUGGUUUAAUUCGAUGCAACGCGAAGAACCUUACCUACUCUUGACAUCCAGAGAACUUUCCAGAGAUGGAUUGGUGCCUUCGGGAACUCUGAGACAGGUGCUGCAUGGCUGUCGUCAGCUCGUGUUGUGAAAUGUUGGGUUAAGUCCCGCAACGAGCGCAACCCUUAUCCUUGUUUGCCAGCGAGUAAUGUCGGGAACUCCAGGGAGACUGCCGGUGAUAAACCGGAGGAAGGUGGGGACGACGUCAAGUCAUCAUGGCCCUUACGAGUAGGGCUACACACGUGCUACAAUGGCGCAUACAGAGGGCAGCAAGCUAGCGAUAGUGAGCGAAUCCCAAAAAGUGCGUCGUAGUCCGGAUUGGAGUCUGCAACUCGACUCCAUGAAGUCGGAAUCGCUAGUAAUCGUGGAUCAGAAUGCCACGGUGAAUACGUUCCCGGGCCUUGUACACACCGCCCGUCACACCAUGGGGAGUGGGCUGCAAAAGAAGUAGGUAG
rnacentral:rRNA from 1 species